rnacentral:rRNA from 1 species
GCGAGUGAAGCGGCAAAAGCUCAAAUUUGAAAUCCUUCGGGAGUUGUAAUUUGUAGGUUGGGAGACCCCGCGGCUAGUGGCACCAAGUCCCUUGGAACAGGGCGCCUUAGAGGGUGAGAGCCCCGUAGGUACCACAACACCGUCUUGUGUCUCCUCUCCAAAGAGUCGAGUUGUUUGGGAAUGCAGCUCAAAGUGGGUGGUAAAUUCCAUCUAAAGCUAAAUACCGGCGAGAGACCGAUAGCGAACAAGUACAGUGAUGGAAAGAUGAAAAGCACUUUGAAAAGAGAGUGAAACAGUACGUGAAAUUGUUGAAAGGGAAGGGCUUGCAAGCAGACACGGCCUUCGUGCCGGGCCAGCAUCGGUUGCUAGGGGUGGAUAAGGAACAAGGAAUGUAGCUCCUCGGAGUAUUAUAGCCUUGCGCGAUACACCCACUGGCGACCGAGGCCUGCGGUAUUCCUACCUAGGAUGCUGGCGUAAUGGUUGCAAGCCGCCC